GCUUGCGGGGGUGAUUAGUGGCGAACGGGUGAGUAAUACGUGAGUAACCUGCCCUUGACUCUGGGAUAAGCCUGGGAAACCGGGUCUAAUACUGGAUACUACUCCUCAUCGCAUGGUGGGGGGUGGAAAGGGUUCUACUGGUUUUGGAUGGGCUCACGGCCUAUCAGCUUGUUGGUGGGGUAAUGGCUCACCAAGGCGACGACGGGUAGCCGGCCUGAGAGGGUGACCGGCCACACUGGGACUGAGACACGGCCCAGACUCCUACGGGAGGCAGCAGUGGGGAAUAUUGCACAAUGGGCGGAAGCCUGAUGCAGCGACGCCGCGUGAGGGAUGACGGCCUUCGGGUUGUAAACCUCUUUCAGCAGGGAAGAAGCCACAAGUGACGGUACCUGCAGAAGAAGCGCCGGCUAACUACGUGCCAGCAGCCGCGGUAAUACGUAGGGCGCAAGCGUUGUCCGGAAUUAUUGGGCGUAAAGAGCUCGUAGGCGGUUUGUCGCGUCUGCUGUGAAAGCCCGGGGCUCAACCCCGGGUCUGCAGUGGGUACGGGCAGACUAGAGUGCAGUAGGGGAGACUGGAAUUCCUGGUGUAGCGGUGAAAUGCGCAGAUAUCAGGAGGAACACCGAUGGCGAAGGCAGGUCUCUGGGCUGUUACUGACGCUGAGGAGCGAAAGCAUGGGGAGCGAACAGGAUUAGAUACCCUGGUAGUCCAUGCCGUAAACGUUGGGCACUAGGUGUGGGGGACAUUCCACGUUCUCCGCGCCGUAGCUAACGCAUUAAGUGCCCCGCCUGGGGAGUACGGCCGCAAGGCUAAAACUCAAAGGAAUUGACGGGGGCCCGCACAAGCGGCGGAGCAUGCGGAUUAAUUCGAUGCACGCGAAGAACCUUACCAAGGCUUGACAUUCACCGGACCGCACUGGAGACAGUGCUUCCUC
rnacentral:rRNA from 1 species